UACGUAGGGUGCGAGCGUUAAUCGGAAUUACUGGGCGUAAAGCGUGCGCAGGCGGGCUUUUAAGCCAGACGUGAAAUCCCCGGGCUUAACCUGGGAAUGGCGUUUGGGACUGGAAGUCUGGAGUGCGGCAGAGGAGACUGGAAUUCCUGGUGUAGCAGUGAAAUGCGUAGAUAUCAGGAGGAACACCGAUGGCGAAGGCAGGUCUCUGGGCCAUAACUGACGCUGAGAAGCGAAAGCAUGGGGAGCGAACAGG
rnacentral:rRNA from 1 species